rnacentral:rRNA from 1 species
UGGGGAAUAUUGCACAAUGGGCGAAAGCCUGAUGCAGCGACGCCGCGUGAAGGAUGAAGGCCUACGGGUUGUAAACUUCUGUUAAGUGGGAAGAAAUACCUACUUCUAAUAAAAGUAGGGGAUGACUGUACCAUUAGAGAAAGCACCGGCUAAACUCGUGCCAGCAGCCGCGGUAAUACGAGUGGUGCAAGCGUUAUUCGGAAUCAUUGGGCGUAAAGGGUGUGUAGGCGGCAAAUCAAGUCUGUUGUUAAAUUUCUCGGCCUAACCGGGAUGCUGCGGCGGAUACUGAUUUGAUAGAGGGUGGAAGAGAGAAGUGGAAUUCUCGGAGUAGCGGUAAAAUGCGUAGAUAUCGAGAGGAACACCGAUGGCGAAGGCAGCUUCUUGGUCCACACCUGACGCUGAAACACGAAAGCGUGGGGAGCAAACAGGAUUAGAUACCCGCGUAGUCC